rnacentral:rRNA from 1 species
AUUGAACGCUGGCGGCAUGCCUUACACAUGCAAGUCGAACGGUAACGGGCCUUCGGGUGCCGACGAGUGGCGAACGGGUGAGAAUACAUCGGAACGUGCCCGAUCGUGGGGGAUAACGAGGCGAAAGAUUUGCUAAUACCGCAUACGAUCUACGGAUGAAAGCAGGGGAACGCAAGGCCUUGCGCGGACGGGGCGGCCGAUGGCAGAUUAGGUAGUUGGUGGGAUAAAAGCUUACCAAGCCGACGAUCUGUAGCUGGUCUGAGAGGAUGAUCAGGCGAACUGGGACUGAGAGACGGCCCAGACUCCUACGGGAGGCAGCAGUGGGGAAGUUUGGACAAUGGGCGCAAGCCUGAUCCAGCCAUGCCGCGUGCAGGAUGAAGGCCUUCGGGUUGUAAACUGCUUUUGUACGGAACGAAAAGCCUUCUUCUAAUACAGGGGGGUCAUGACGGUACCGUAAGAAUAAGCACCGGCUAACUACGUGCCAGCCGCCGCCGUAA